UGUCGUCCCCGGUCUGCAAAGAAGAAUCACUACAGAGCGUUUCAAGGAGGCUGGGGUUCCUCUCAGCACCGAAGCAGCUGCACAAGAAACGUCCCGUGUCCCCAGAUGACUGAGGGCAACUGGCUUCUCCGUCCUCAGUAGGCCUCGCCGUGUCUCACCACACCAACGUACGUCUUCCCUGCAGCUUUACUAACCUACGAUCGACAGACGAAAGAGCGCACAAUUAGGUCGUACAAGCUCCUGGCAACCGCUCUGCGCUCGGUUCUAUGAGUUCGAUUUUUGAAGAUUCCACAUAGACGUGACAUCAUGCAAUACUUGUCUUUAUUUCACGUAGCCUGAUGUCCUCCUGAU